GUCUAUGGUCAUGCCACCCUGAACACGCCCGAUCCCGUCUGAUCUUGGAAGCUACACAGGGUCAGGCCUGGUUAGUACUUGGAUGAGAGACCACCUAGGAAGACCGGGGGUAAAAAAAA
rnacentral:rRNA from 1 species